UACGAAGGGUGCAAGCGUUAAUCGGAAUUACUGGGCGUAAAGCGUGCGUAGGCGGUUCGUUAAGUCUGUCGUGAAAGCCCUGGGCUCAACCUGGGAAUGGCGAUGGAUACUGGCGGGCUAGAGUCAGGUAGAGGGUGGUGGAAUUCCCGGUGUAGCGGUGAAAUGCGUAGAGAUCGGGAGGAACAUCUGUGGCGAAGGCGGCCACCUGGACCAUGACUGACGCUGAGGCACGAAAGCGUGGGGAGCAAACAGG
rnacentral:rRNA from 1 species